UACGAAGGGGGCUAGCGUUGCUCGGAAUGACUGGGCGUAAAGGGCGCGUAGGCGGAUGGCACAGUCAGAUGUGAAAUUCCCGGGCUUAACCUGGGGGCUGCAUUUGAUACGUGUUGUCUUGAGUUCGGAAGAGGGUCGCGGAAUUCCCAGUGUAGAGGUGAAAUUCGUAGAUAUUGGGAAGAACACCGGUGGCGAAGGCGGCGUUCUGGACUGCAACUGACACUGAUGAACGAAAGCCAGGGGAGCAAACGGG
rnacentral:rRNA from 1 species